rnacentral:lncRNA from 1 species
CUUUCCAGGAACAGAAGUGCAUAGGAAAGCAGCUCUGGAAGUCAGGGAAGGGGUGGGGCCUGUGGGAGGAAGGAGCUGCUUGUGUUCACGGCUCCUGCUGCUCCCUGAGGCCCGAGCCUCACCCCACAGCUCUGAACCGAACCUGGCUGCCUUCUCCGGAUAUGGCAACAGCAGCCUCUACACAGUUCUGGAGGCUGAAGAAUCCGAAAUCAGGAUGCUGGCAGAUACAGUAUUUGGACAGUGUGAUGAAGUCAUUCUUUCUGCCAUGUUGCUGCUUCUCCCAGGAUGCCCGGUACUCAGGGAGAUCAAUGGUGUGAACGUAACCGGCACCCAGACCAGACUCAGCC